rnacentral:lncRNA from 1 species
AUCGUUAUGGUAAAGUUUCAAAAAAUUUGGAGCAUUUUCAUAUUUUGGAAAUUUUUGCUGUAGUUUCCAUGGCAACAUAGUAGUUCCAAUGAUUGCCAAAAAUCAUCCAAAACAAGUAUAUAGCGGGCACCUACAUUGUAUCAAAAUAUAAUGAUUCUGAGUUUAAGCAUGUCCAAAUAAUUCACCAAAACAAAAAAGUGGAAUUUUUUACAAUUUUUCCGUUUCCAUGGAAACGGCAGCCAUUUUUUAUGGUCUUAGACCCUACUGCAACCCGCAAUUUUGUGUUCCCUAUUAUACUUAACUAUCAUUAAGAUUGGUUCCAUUGGCUCCGAGAAAAGUGGCGGACAAAAUAGUUGGAAGAAUAAUAAUAAUAACAAAGAAACAGAGGAAAAGCAAUAUGUCACCCGACAUUGUCGAUCGGGUGACAUAACUAGAUUUGCCAUUGCAAGCAAUAGCGGAUGGCACCCUUCCCACAUUGCCAGGCGAGCGGCAGCAAUCUAGAAAAUUCCAAAGUCAAAGUGUGCAUCUACACUUUCAAAUAAUCAUAUUUGUUAAGUUUCAUUAAGUUUGGAGCAUUUUGAAGUUUUUGACAUUUUUGCUGUUUCCAUGGUUACGGCGGCCAUUUUGAAAAUUCCAACUUCAAAUGUCAACUUUGCUUAUGCCAGUGACCAUUCCUGUAAAGUUUCAUCCAGUUUACAGCAUUUUUAUUUUUUUUUGAAAUUUUUGACCUUUUUGCAUUGUUUCCAUGGUAACAACAGAUAUUUUGGAAAUUCCAACGCCAAAUUCCACAUCUUCCAAUGUUGCUCAUCGUUACUGUGAAGUUUCAUGAAAUUUGGAGCAUUUUGAUAUUUUUGAAAUUUUUGGUAUAGUUUCCAUGGCAACAUAGUAGUUCCAAUGAGUGCCAAAAUCAUCCAACACCUGUAUAUGGCCGGCACC